AGCACCUUUGUUAUUCUCGGCGAGGUCUUUAGGGAGGCGGAGAACCGUUCCGCCGGCGAAACAACCUUGUUGGGACAUCAUGAGCCGCUUCACGGAUGGGCGGAGACCCAAAAGCUUCGUUAGCUGAUAAUCAGCACCGGGCAUGUCCACACCACUAGUCGUGCAAAAGACCAAGUGAGUGAUUUUGGAUUUGGGCUGGCCCCAUUCUUUGAUAGCUCUGACGGCAGCUUCUUGGCCUAGCUUUGGUAUCUCGCCCACCACUA
rnacentral:misc_RNA from 1 species